GCAUAAUUACUAAAACAAGUUUAUGCCUUAAAACAACAUGACCGUAAAAAUCAUGGCAAAACUUACUUGUGAGGCUUGAGAUGGUAAGGCAUUGAAGAGGUUAACUGUUGCUCUUUUGUCAAUCACAUUCCCUUAUGAAGUAUAUUUAAUUCUGCAGACAAGUACCAAACCAUUUUUCUUGAUUAUCUCUGGCAACCAAAGGAUUGGGAAUCAUGAUUGCCAAACUAUAACAUUGUUGGUCACCUGCGGCUGAAAGCUUGGGAUGCCAUUAAGGCCACCUUUAGAUGCUCUGACGCAGUGAAGCCCUGAGCCUCCAUCAGCCCAUGGA
rnacentral:misc_RNA from 1 species